CCGCGUAGGUCUUCAUCCUUCACCUCCACCUUGGAACACCCCCGCUGUCCAGGGCCACGGUCAUCCAGGAAGGGGGCUUGGCUCGGAGGAAAAGGGGCCAGAGUUCCUCCUUGGGGAACCUCAACCUUCCUUCCCGAGAAGACCCAGGCCGCGUCCUGCGGCACUCGGCGCUCCUCGGCGCGCACCCGGCGCCUUACCUACUCUUUGGACCGUGGCACCAACAUACCGGCCUCCAAAGGGUGCCCAACAGCACGGAACUCUAAGUCCCACCCCUGUAGAGACCGUAGUUCACCGCCGGAUCUUCUCAGGACAGUACCUCCAGGAAGGAGGAGGGGAAGAGCGUGGGGCCACCUUCCCACAUCCGCUCCUAGUCCCAAGGGAAUCAGCCAGGGUCUGGAACCACCGAGACCUCGGUCUUCCCAGCCCUAGAGCGGCAGGGCAGGCCACACUUCCGGCCCGUGUCCCACUGGCCAGUCCCUGCCCGGCUAGUGCGGCGGUCUCUCGGGUGGCCUGAAGGCCUCGGGAUCCCCACAGGCGCUUGCGCGGCGGACCGGGAUGGGGGGUCCGCACAGGGGCGGAAUCUUGGGGCUGCCCCUGUGGGAGCUGGGGAUCACGGUGUGGCACUGCGAGGAGUCGUUGGCGCGAGGCCACGCGGUCAGGAGACUAUGAUGAACUGAGUAUGUGAUCCACGGGUGCGGUCUGUGGAGAGUGUGGGGAGUACCGUCAGCACGCGAAUCUUCUGUGGACUGAGUAGUGAGGGUCUAGGGAGCGAGCGUGAGACCCCCACCACUGGCCUCAUUCUGGGCCCUGAUUUCCGGAUUUUGCAUCCAAAAAGCCCAGCAGUACUCACUUUGGAGUCUUUCUGGGCCAUCUUCCAAUAGUAAGAAGAGGAGUGUCCUAUGGCUGGAAGCUUCUCCCCAGAUCUCUGCCCAUCUCCCACCUGGAUUAGAUCACUGGGAGAGGUCUAUAGGGGGACGGACGGCCUUAGCCGUGACACAGGUAGAGGUCCUUUGAUCCAGGCAGGACCCUCCUCUUAGUGACAGUGUCCUAACAUGUGCCAUGGGUGCUGAUGACAGGAGGUACCUCCAGCUGGAGACACGGAGUGUGGGCAGCAGCCCCUUGAUCACUGUCCCAACCUAUCCUACCUUCAGCUUGCUAUCUAGCCAGGUGUGGUGGCACACGCCUUUGAUCCCAGCACUUGAAAGGCUGAGACGGGAGGAUCACGAGUUUGAAGCCAGCCAACAGCGUGGCCCGGGGCCACGGCAGACGGUGCUAAGCCUAGUGGGCAGCCAGCCUUCAUGUGCUCCCAUGCUUUCCUUCUGACCACUCCUCCCACUGUCAGUUAUUUCCAGGAAGAGCUCAGCCAGGUGGCCAAGUCUCAGGUGAGCUGGCCUUCAGAGAGCAACUGCCAUCUGGGCCUCACAGUUUUAGCCUGGAGUCCCUCACCCAGCACACCCUUGGGGCUCAGAACAGAAUCUUCCCUGGAUCCAGGCCCACCUUGCCAGCUACUUCUUCCUACCAAGCUGAGCUGAUCACAGGGCUUGGAGAGAGACCCCAGUUUUGAGGGUACAGUAUUUCCACACAGUUACCCUUUCCCCUGCCCACCUCUACCCACCAAUACUUUUCCCCAGCAUCUACCUGGAAGGCUGGGAGAUGCACAAAGAGCCUCUACCUGUACCCUCAGAUUGGGUGAGGGGUUCUGAGUAGCAAGCAACUAUUAUUAUAGUACAUGAUGACCUUCAAGGACCUUGCUCUGUAAUUUACUUUGGAAAAGGCACAGUACCUGGGCCCCCAGCAGAGAGAGCUCUACUGGGACAUGAUGCUGGAGAACUACGAUACCCUGAGGGCUCUGGGUAAGCACCACAUAGUGGGGCCUUAGUUCCUGCAUCCCAGUGCCUGGUCUCUGGGCUCUCUUGAUGCUCAGUAGACCAAACACCCCAGUCCAGGUCAGUGCCCUUGUUCUACAGGGAGUGUCUAGUGGACUCAUCCUCUAAUCCCUUUCUCUUUGAACCUCCUCUGGGGCCCUUCUCCUCUGUUCUCCUCAGUGGCCCUCAGGCUGGGCAGGUUUGAUUUUCUAGCACUGACAGUUAUCUUCUUGAUGAACAGAGUUUCCAGAGUUCAGAUCCAGGGUCAUCUCUGGAGGAGGAAUGCCAAGGAUUGUGGCCCUGUGGGUCCUCCCUGUACAGGUGAAUGACAGCAAGUUUCCCAGGGAAGUGCUGUGUGUAAGCUGCAAGCAAUGUAGCAUGGAGGGCAGAUAGCCUUGAUUGUCCUUUGUGGGGAGCCACAUUGAGGUACCACGCCUUUCAGUCCUGAUGCACCCCCGGGGAUCUGAAAGAUCACUGUAGUCUGAUGCUGUAGUGCCAUGACUCCUGACUCGGUCUCCCUGCCCCCACCUCAGAGGCCAGUCUUCUGAGUGGGCAUACCCCUGGGGUUGAGCCACACUCACCUGUUCUUUUGUAAUCCUACCCCUUUGCCCUGUUUGGGAUAGAAUGUUCUAUGGAAACACCCUUUGUGUGUCCCCUUCUCUUGCUCUGCCUUUGGGUGUGGCCUUCUUAGAUGUCAGUCUAGUGACAGCA